rnacentral:rRNA from 1 species
CCUACGGGAGGCAGCAGUAGGGAAUCUUCCACAAUGGACGAAAGUCUGAUGGAGCAACGCCGCGUGAGUGAAGAAGGGUUUCGGCUCGUAAAGCCCUGUUGGUAGUGAAGAAAGAUAGAGGUAGUAACUGGCCUUUAUUUGACGGUAAUUACUUAGAAAGUCACGGCUAACUACUUGCCAGCAGCCGCGGUAAUACGUAGGUGGCAAGCGUUGUCCGGAUUUAUUGGGCGUAAAGCGAGUGCAGGCGGUUCAAUAAGUCUGAUGUGAAAGCCUUCGGCUCAACCGGAGAAUUGCAUCAGAAACUGUUGAACUUGAGUGCAGAAGAGGAGAGUGGAACUCCAUGUGUAGCGGUGGAAUGCGUAGAUAUAGGGAAGAACACCAGUGGCGAAGGCGGCUCUCUGGUCUGCAACUGACGCUGAGGCUCGAAAGCAUGGGUAGCGAACAGGAUUAGAUACCCGAGUAGUC